GGAUUCCUCAGCUGCAUCCCAGACCUCUCUGCCUGGGGUGUUUUCUUCAGUGUGCAGACCUUCCUUGGUUGCUGCUUCACAGACAGUGGUUGUUUAUUAAGGACUGUAGUUAGUAGCUUCAUCCUUUGUUCUAGGCAUGGUGAUUCUAGUGUUUUUUGGGUUUUUUUUGUUUGUUUGUUUUUUGUUUUUUCACCUUUGAGACAAAGAACAAAGGUUACAUGUUGCAGUUGGAAAUAACAAUGGCUUCCACAGGGCCCCUGGUGUCUGUGACUGAGAUGAGUUUAGUUAAAACCAGCUGCUAAGGUUAAAUGUCCAAUUAUCGCGCUGAACAACACGUGAAUUUUUUUUCAGCCCUUUUUCUUUAGGACUUUAUUUUCAUAUUCUUUUUGCACUGUCCCCCCAGAGAAAACCUGUUAUUUAUUAAAUGCAGGUCUUGUGCCUUUUCAUGUGACCAAAAUCCGUUUAUGUUGAAGGCAGUCCACAGAUGCAAUGUCCACAUUUGCCGGAGUAUGCACCUUGUGUUGGGAGAACGAUACCACCCUGCUCCCUCUUCCCACCUGAGGGAGGCCCUGGGUCCACUUCCCUUCUCCUUGGAGCACAGACUAUUUGCAGCAUGACUGGAACUUCCCUUAUUCUUUCUCUAGGUUUUUAUGCGGAUCCUUUGGAAGCUUCAGGGCCAGUAAAUGUAAGCAUGACAUCAUAUACACGUAAUACCAGCUCUAGUGCUCACUAGAGUAGCAUGCUCACUAGAGCAGCACUGACAGGGUUUCUUUUCUGUUACACACCUGUGUGGGUCCUUUAGACCCUGACAGGCAAGGGUGAAAUUCCUUUUCCCUUGCUGGAUGUGAGUCUGAGCUAAAACUGUCACAACUAAGGAAUGCAAAGACAGUGACUCAUGCAUUCGUUCCCAGCACACUUAACCGAACUUGGUUCCUGAUCUAGGGACUAGAAUUCAUGUUCUGUGUUUAGACAGCCCUAGAAGCCCAAAGCACGACUUUGUUUACCUCUUUGCCCAGGUUGAUUGUCCGAGUUGAGCAGUGUUAUUGGAUCUGGGUGCUAUUGAGCAGCACAGUUUGUUACAGUCACGUUGAGUGUAGUUAUUUGAGCACAGCCUUUUCCACGAUCCCUAAAAACAUACCCCACGUAGGCAAGUAGACAACAUUGGGCACUGAACUGUAAACUCAAUAAGUUCAAGGCCAAACCAGAGUAUCCAGCCUCAGUGACAGAGGGUGCCCUUCUGGGAAGUUCUUCUCACUCAGGGAUGGUUAAAAGGCCCUCCCGUUUAAACCAGUCAAACCCAGGAGAAAUAUAAGGAAAACAGUAUUUCAGACUUAAUAACAUCAAUGAGUGGAGAAAAAAAAAAUCACAAAAGGUUCUAAGUAUUCACUGAUGGCUUUGGUCAUUUUCCAAAUCUCAAAGGGGCUGAAGGUUUGUAACCAACUUGAAGGUCAUAGAGUAUGUGGCCUGUCACAGCCCUUUGGAGGAGAAGACAGACGCCAUGGUCUUCACGCAAAAGGAAGGCCCCUGAACCUGUGAGCUGUUGGGCUUAUGUUCUAGAAGACCUAAGGAUAACUUCUUAGGUGGCUUAUACCUUCUUUAUCUUUCUUUCCGUUCAUUUCCUUAAACAAGUAGAAAUAGGCACUCCUGGAGGUACUGUGUUCGAGGUAACAGCAGUAUUUAUUGUUUUAUUUGUGUACGUGUAGACGGCUGUAGUAAAGUGACCUAUAAACACAUUCAGCAUGUUCAUUUGCUGUUGUACUGCUGUGUGUUUGGUUUUAUACGUAGAAAAACAAGUCACGUAAGCUUUUGUGAACUUGGACUGUUCCUUCCUGGAGACAAAUUAAACAAACGUUACCU
rnacentral:lncRNA from 1 species